CGGGGGGAGCAAGCGUUGUUCGGAUUUACUGGGCGUAAAGGGCGCGUAGGCGGCCACCGCAAGUCGACUGUGAAAUCUCCGGGCUUAACCCGGAAAGGUCAGCCGAUACUGCGGGGCUAGAGUGCAGAAGGGGCAACUGGAAUUCUCGGUGUAGCGGUGAAAUGCGUAGAUAUCGAGAGGAACACCUGCGGCGAAGGCGGGUUGCUGGGCUGACACUGACGCUGAAGCGCGAAAGCUAGGGGAGCGAACGGGAUUAGAUACCCCGGUAGUCCUAGCCUUAAACGAUGAAUGCUUGGUGUCCGGGGUUUUAUAGUCCCCGGGUGCCGUCGCUAACGCUUUAAGCAUUCCGCCUGGGGAGUACGGUCGCAAGACUG
rnacentral:rRNA from 1 species